rnacentral:piRNA from 1 species
UUUUCACAUAUUCCGUGGAUC